AUGCCUUUGCCGCUGCCCAGAUCCAUGGUCCUCUCCCCUAUCUCCUUCCAUCUCCCCGCCCCUAUGGAUCCAUACGUCGCCGGCGGCACCACCCGACACUCCGGCCGUCCCGAUUGGGUCUUACUCCACAAUUCGGCUCGUAUCUCGGGACACCGGAACUCGACCACCGCCGGCUGUCACACGAUGGAGGGCCGCCCCAUCGAGGUGUCCUUCUGGCUCGUUGACCCACCGGGAGUCUCCUACUUCUCCGUCCACUGCCCUGGCCUCAGUAAGGACUUCCAGGGCGAGCCCUACGUUCACUGCGCGGAGGCCGCUCUCGUCCUCUUCAGCGUGACCUUUCUCCCCGUCCCUGGCCGGAGAUCCAUCCAGCACUUCGUCUACAGAGCCGGCCCGGGGGCGCCCUCGCUGGACCUGAUUCCCGACCCGGACAAGAUCAGAAGAGGCGAUCGAUAUGGCCUCUUGCCCUGUGGCGAUGACACCGACCACUACGCCGUGGUCUUCCUCGACAGGAAUUUUAUUGCCUAUGACAAGCCCUGGCGUUUCAAUGCUCACGUCUUCUUGUCGGCAACAAGGUCGUGGAGCAGCAAGGUGCCCUUGUCUUGCCUAUCUGAAGAUGAUCAGGCAUUGCUGCUUAAGCAUGGCACCUGCAAGCCGCCGAUCAUGGUAGGAGCAACCUCGCUGGGCUGGGUCGAUCUCUUCAAAGGCAUCCUCCUUCUCUCCGACGUGCUCGGGGACUGCCCUGUGGUCAAGUACAUCCAGUUGCCCGCGUCAAGGGUUUGCCACAUGAACAAGCGUGGCUUCCCUUACACUGCCAAGCAAUACUGUUGUGAUGUCUCCUCCUGCCGCGACAACAGUCUGAUCAAGUUUGUCGAGAUGGAGUUCAAUGAGCCGGACCGCAGGAACAGAGGCGGCCAAGGCUGGAGAGCCAUCAUGUGGGAUACGACGGUGAUUUCAGAUGGUUGGAGCCAGCGCUUCAGAGUUGAUGUUGAUAACAUUUCGGUGGACAGAAGUUAUUCUGGUCUACUGCCUCAGCUGUGGAAUGACGAGACCAGAGAACUAGAACUGAAGAGACUGAUUUUGUAUACCCCCACGCUGAGCGUGCACGACGACAAUCUUCUUUACGUGAUGGCUAAGAUGAACAGUGAAGACGACAAGGCCUGGGUCAUCACCGUCGACAUGAAAUGCGAGGCCGUGGAAGCAAUCGCCCCGUAUUCUACCAGAGGGCGCAAACUCACUUCAUGGCAUAGUCCAUGCACCUUUCCAGAGUACCUCGACCCGGCGACCCCAGGGGAUCAUGUGGCCAUGCACUCUAGGAGGAUUUGUGCGGCGGACUGUGUUCUGCAAAUGCUGUUGACUCGAGACUGGUUCAGGGAAAUUGGUGAACGCUUUGAAUUUGAGAGGCCAACCCACGUUGAGUGCCUGUCACUAAUUCAGUGUUGCCCAGUAUCAUCUGUUCUUUCAGAUAUCCAAGAAGUGGUAAAAUAUGCUUUCUCUACUGGUGAAGGCGAAGCUGCUCCCAAAGCUGUGGAUUUAUGCUCACGAGCUUUUGAAGACUUCGAUGUGCUGCUACGCGAGUUAUUGCAUGAUCCAGCGUCAUCUACCGAAGGCAUGAGUUGCAAAAUCAGUGUUGCCCUUCGAGCUUUAGACAGUAUCUUGGACAUUGUGCCACCAACCUUGAGGGCGCUUGCGGAUGCCUGUCAUCAAAAAGGAGGGAAAACAAUAUUUGAUCUGGGUGAGGAGCCUGGUGAUCCAAAGGACUUGAAACUACAGUGCUCUCCUAAAGCUAACAACCUUACAUGGUGCAAGCAGCCAGUCGUCUAUUCAAAGAACAGAUCUGACGAGUUGCAGCAGUGGGGAUCCAACCUGAUUAACCGUUUCCAGAUAGGAGGGAGGACGGUAUUUGAGCAGGCAAGAGAUACAGAGGACUGGAAAGUGGAGAGCUCUUGUGAUGCUAACAACCUUUCUGGCGGCAAGGACAAGGGCGGAUCUUACGAGGUGCAGCAGGGGAGAUCCAAGCCCAUUAACCGCCGGCAAAGGAAGCGGAACCAGGCACGGGGCAGGGAAGCUGGCCGUGAUGAACGAUUGGUGGUUCCAUAUUGCCGCCAACUGGAGCAGUAUGUGUUGAUUUUCUUGUGCCUGCUCUUCAUUGCCUACAUCUGUGCACCGAUCACUAUGAAGUGGUUAGGCCAUGGCCCUUUAGUAUCCUACUAG
rnacentral:rRNA from 1 species